rnacentral:rRNA from 1 species
AGGUGCCCGUACCGCAAACCGACACAGGUAGGUAGGAAGAAGAUUCUAAGGCCAACGGGAGAAGGGUUGUUAAGGAACUCGGCAAAUUGACCCCGUAACUUCGGGAGAAGGGGUGCUCCAGAGAUGGAGCCGCAGAGAAUCGGCCCAAGCAACUGUUUACCAAAAACACAGGUUUGUGCUAAAUCGAAAGAUGACGUAUACGAGCUGACGCCUGCCCGGUGCUGGAAGGUUAAGAGGAGAUGUGCAAGCAUUGAAUCGAAGCCCCAGUGAACGGCGGCCGUAACUAUAACGGUCCUAAGGUAGCGAAAUUCCUUGUCAGGUAAGUUCUGACCCGCAUGAAAGGCGUAAUGAUUUGGGCACUGUCUCAACAGCCCGCCCGGCGAAAUUGUAGUACCGGUGAAGAUGCCGGUUACCCGCGACAAGACGGAAAGACCCCAUGGAGCUUUACUGUAGCCUAAUAUUGGGUUUCGAUGUUGCAUGCACAGGAUAGAUGGGACACUGGGAAACAAUCGCUUUGGCGGUUGUGGAGUGGCCGUUGGGAUACCAUCCUUGCGAUAUUGGAAUUCUAACCUGCGGCUCUGAAUCGAGUCGGGGGACAUUGUUAGGUGGGCAGUUUGACUGGGGCGGUCGCCUCCUAAAAAGUAACGGAGGCGUUCAAAGGUUCGCUCAGCUUGAACGGAAAUCAAGCAAAAGAGUGCAAACGCAGAAGCGAGCCUAACUGCGAGACUGACGGGUCGAGCAGUAACGAAAGUUGGAGUUAGUGAUCCGGUGGUAUGUGAGUGGAAAUGCCAUCGCUCAACGGAUAAAAGCUACCCUGGGGAUAACAGGCUGAUCUCCCCCAAGCGUCCACAGCGACGGGGAGGUUUGGCACCUCGAUGUCGGCUCGUCGCAUCCUGGGGCUGUAUUCGGUCCCAAGGGUUUGGCUGUUCGCCAAUUAAAGCGGCACGCGAGCUGGGUUCAGAACGUCGUGAGACAGUUCGGUCCCUAUCUGUUGCGGGCGUAAGAGAUUUGAAGGGAGCUGUCCUUAGUACGAGAGGACCGGGAUGGACGUACCUCUGGUGCACCAGUUGUCCUGCCAAGGGCAUAGCUGGGUAGCUAUGUACGGACGAGAUAAACGCUGAAAGCAUCUAAGCGUGAAACUCCCCCUAAGAUGAGAUCUCUCAUCCUUUAUGGAGUAAGGGCCCAGAAAGACGAUCUGGUUGAUAGGCCGGAGGUGGAAGUGCAGUAAUGUAUGGAGCUGACCGGUACUAAUAGCCCGAGGGCUUGACCU